UUUACCCUACGGGGCGCAGCAGUGAGGAAUAUUGGUCAAUGGGCGGAAGCCUGAACCAGCCACGUCGCGUGAGGGAAUAAGGCCCUACGGGUCGUAAACCUCUUUUGCCGGGGAGCAAGGGCGGGGACGUGUCCCGGCCCGGAGAGUACCCGGAGAAAAAGCAUCGGCUAACUCCGUGCCAGCAGCCGCGGUAAUACGGAGGAUGCGAGCGUUAUCCGGAUUUAUUGGGUUUAAAUGAUGCGUAGGCGGGCGUU
rnacentral:rRNA from 1 species